rnacentral:rRNA from 1 species
GACGUAGGGCGCGAGCGUUGUCCGGAUUUAUUGGGCGUAAAGAGCUCGUAGGCGGCUUGUCGCGUCGACCGUGAAAACUCACAGCUCAACUGUGAGCUUGCGGUCGAUACGGGCAGGCUCGAGUUCGGUAGGGGAGACUGGAAUUCCUGGUGUAGCGGUGAAAUGCGCAGAUAUCAGGAGGAACACCGGUGGCGAAGGCGGAUCUCUGGACAGCUACUGACACUGAGGCACGAAGGCCAGGGGAGCAAACGGG